CCGUGCCAAGAUACUGUCUAUGUUUUUGGGCCUAGUUCUGACAUCAGAUCAUUCCAUUAGGUUAUGUGGUCAUUUCACAACAUUUCAACUAGUCAAAUAUGUACUCGUUGCUGUUUUCUUCAUCGUCUGAACCAAGGAGAUCUGCAUUCCAUGUAUCUGUAUCAGUUGAUUCUUGCUGCAUUUCACUGUCACAGGAACUUUGGCUCACAUGACCAGUGUCGUCAUCAUCAUCAGCCCUACCACUCCUCUUAUGAAGGCAUGCAUUUUACCAUAAUGGAUCUUCUUCGUCAUUCAUGCAUGAGCAAUCUGAUGAUUCAUUUUUGACCUCCUCUGAAACUUGCAGCUCUGGUUUUUCAUGUACUAUUGUACUAAAUGGGGGGCUACUUCUACCAGAAAGAUCAAAACAAAACAUUUUUAACAAAUUCUAGUGUUGAAAGCCUAUUGGACCCUCUGUGAUGUGCAGGUUAGAUGGAGUAUAUAGGUGAGUCAAAUCCUGUGCACAUGUGCACACUCCUUGCUGUUCAUCAUAGUGAGUAAACAGAUUGCUUCCUGUAUCCCUCAGGCAAAAGUACUGAGACACAGCCAAGUACAAUUAUGCUAAAGUAAAAAUUCAUAGUAGAAAAGUAAGGGAUGUAUAACGUGAGAAGUGUUAAGAAAGACCCAUUUUGGAAAAACAGCUUGGUAGCACCUUGUAAAGUUAAACUGUAUACUUCUUUCAACUGUAGUAGUUCUGCUUAGGUACUGCACACUGCUAUACUGUCCUCCAAGCAUCGUGAGCAAGGAUGUGUGUGGCAGUUUGUAAUAGCAAAAGCUAGAAAUAAACCAAAUACUAAGUUAAUAGAAGAGAGAAUGGUUUGAUAGACAUGGUAUAUUUACACCAUGAAGUAUUAAUAGGCAAUUAAAAUUAAUGAGCUUCUAUGGUAGGGAACAGCACAAAAGAAGCUGAUCAUAGAAAACUACAUAUAGUAUGAUAUGCUUUUAAAAGUUUACACUUAAAUAAUUUUUUGUUCCAUAGGUAAAGUUAAAAAAUAAACUAGUUAUUUAGUGGGGAGGUAAAAGAUGAUAAUAUGGUGGAUGGAGUGUAUUGUUUGAUACACUACUGGUAGUAUUUUAAGUCUUCAUUUGGCAAUUCCAUGUCUUCAGUAUGUUAAUAACAAAUAAUAUACUCCCAACCCCCUUAAGUAUGUCUUUUUCCAUAACUGUCAUUUUGUAAUCAUACCCCCAGCUCCCUUCUCUUUUUUCAUUGUACAGAUGUGUUACAACUUCAACCCCAACAUCUGUUAAAUCCAUCUCUCUCCAAACAACCGUGCCCACUUGUCUCCCUGUGAGGACGAGUACUCUUACUGAACCUCUCCGGUGCUGUGCGCACUUCAGCACUUAUGUAUGAGAAUCACCUAAAAGUCUUGCCAAACACGUGGACCUCCCCCACGUUCAUUCAACAGGGGAGGCCUGGGAGUUUACAUCUCUGUUCUUUGUUCAGGACACCAAACACCUGGGAAGAAGCCCCAUCGGACAACCCCCAUCCAGUGCCAUUACCUGCACGGUCUGGUGCUAUCUCCAGGCAGGUCGUGUUAGACUGACCUCAGUCACACGACACCUCACUGAUGUCUGCAGAACUGCCGGGUGGCGUCUGAACCUGCGCCCCCAAGCCACUGCCGGUGCCGGCGUCUGACUGGGUGGUGAGAAACAGCCUGCCGCCACAGGACACCGACACUGGGCAGGUAAAAACCACCCUAGGGGAACAGCAAAGUCGUGCCGGGCCUCUCACCUAAAUCCAUGCUCCCCUAAGAGUGAUGUGCGAGACACCUGCUGUUCCACCAUCACCGAGCGGUGCUGGCUGAAACACUCCUCACGGACACUUCCAACACCCAGCGAUCUCCACUGUAAGUUUUCUUUACUCUGUGAGUGCGUAAUAGCUCUAAGAAUAAAAAAUUACAGACUUUAUAAAAUGAAACAGUAACAUCUCUAAUUAAAGUACCGUCUGCUGGGGGCUGGGUAUUUAGCUCAGCGGCAAAGCGCCUGCCUGGCAAGCACAAGGUCGUGAGUUCUGUUCCCGGUACCGGAAAAAAAACCAAAAAACAAAAAACAAAAAAAAUAAAUAAAUAAAGUACAGUCUGCUGGUACUUUCUGACCAGCAUCAUCAUCUCUGCUCAAUAAGCUGAGAGUUGGGCGUGGUGGUGCAGGCCUGUAAUCCCUGCACUCAGGAGGCUGAGGAAGGAGGAUCACCAGGAGCUGGAGGGCAGCCUGAACGACAUAGUGAGACCUUGUCUUCCCCUGCACCUCCCAAAAACUACUCCCACAAAAGUUCACUAAAAAAAUCAGUUCAGCAUCUCCUAAGCUACCGUCUCCCAAGGUCCAGCUCACUACUUCUUGUGAUGGAGACGAAAUGUCAGCCCCUUUAUUUUUUUAGACAGGGUCAUAGACACAACUUGUGCCCUUUCUGCCUCAGUCUCCCAAAUAGGGGUGUGCUACUGUGGCUGGCACAUCUUCUUUAAUUUAUAUAUUAAAUAAACCUCUUGUACACACACCGUUUUUUGU